rnacentral:rRNA from 1 species
AUUGAACGCUGGCGGCAGGCCUAACACAUGCAAGUCGAGCGGAUGAAGGGAGCUUGCUCCUGGAUUCAGCGGCGGACGGGUGAGUAAUGCCUAGGAAUCUGCCUGGUAGUGGGGUAUAACGUCCGGAAACGGGCGCUAAUACCGCAUACGUCCUGAGGGAGAAAGUGGGGGAUCUUCGGACCUCACGCUAUCAGAUGAGCCUAGGUCGGAUUAGCUAGUUGGUGGGGUAAAGGCCUACCAAGGCGACGAUCCGUAACUGGUCUGAGAGGAUGAUCAGUCACACUGGAACUGAGACACGGUCCAGACUCCUACGGGAGGCAGCAGUGGGGAAUAUUGGACAAUGGGCGAAAGCCUGAUCCAGCCAUGCCGCGUGUGUGAAGAAGGUCUUCGGAUUGUAAAGCACUUUAAGCUGGGAGGAAGGGCAGUAAGUUAAUACCUUGCUGUUUUGACGUUACCAACAGAAUAAGCACCGGCUAACUUCGUG